rnacentral:rRNA from 1 species
UACGUAGGUGACGAGCGUUAUCCGGAAUUACUGGGCGUAAAGCGCACGCAAGCGGUCUGACAAGUCUGGCGUGAAAUCCCCUGGCUUAACCAGGGGCGGUCGCUGGAAACGGUCAGGCUUGAGGCGAUGAGAGGGGUGCAGAAUUCCCGGUGUAGUGGUGGAAUGCGUAGAGAUCGGGAGGAAUACCAGUGGCGAAAGCGGCACCCUGGCGUCGUACUGACGCACAUGUGCGAAAGCGUGGGGAGCGAACAGG